AGGCGAGAGAAAGAGAGCGAGGAAAAAUGGAAGGGGCGAGAAGAAAAUAGCUAUUUCUUUCUCGCCCUUCCCAUUUUUCCUCGCUCUCUUUCUCUCGCCUUCCCAUC